rnacentral:rRNA from 1 species
GAUGAACGCUGGCGGCGUGCCUAAUACAUGCAAGUCGAGCGAACAGACGAGGAGCUUGCUCCUCUGACGUUAGCGGCGGACGGGUGAGUAACACGUGGAUAACCUACCUAUAAGACUGGGAUAACUUCGGGAAACCGGAGCUAAUACCGGAUAAUAUAUUGAACCGCAUGGUUCAAUAGUGAAAGACGGUUUUGCUGUCACUUAUAGAUGGAUCCGCGACGCAUUAGCUAGUUGGUAAGGUAACGGCUUACCAAGGCAACGAUGCGUAGCCGACCUGAGAGGGUGAUCGGCCACACUGGAACUGAGACACGGUCCAGACUCCUACGGGAGGCAGCAGUAGGGAAUCUUCCGCAAUGGUCGAAAGCCUGACGGAGCAACGCCGCGGGAGUGAUGAAGGUCUUCGGAUCGUAAAACUCUGUUAUUAGGGAAGAACAAAUGUGUAAGUAACUAUGCACGUCUUGACGGUACCUAAGCAGAAAGCCACGGCUAACUACGUG